UACGUAGGGUGCGAGCGUUGUCCGGAAUUACUGGGCGUAAAGAGCUCGUAGGUGGUUUGUCGCGUUGUUCGUGAAAACUCACAACUCAAUUGUGGGCGUGCGGGCGAUACGGGCAGACUGGAGUACUGCAGGGGAGACUGGAAUUCCUGGUGUAGCGGUGGAAUGCGCGAUAUCAGGAGGAACACCGGUGGCGAAGGCGGGUCUCUGGGGCAGUA
rnacentral:rRNA from 1 species